rnacentral:rRNA from 1 species
AUGCAAAUGCACCGCAGCUUGACAUUUUCUUACCCCAACACUUCAAUGGCGACGCUGCAGAAACUCUUCCAUGUCUCACUCCUCCUGCUAGUAUGCGCAUCCAAGGCGACCAAGCCGGAAGCCGAAGCGGAAGCACUUCUCCGAUGGAAGUCCACUUUGGUUGGCGUCAACUCGUUCUCCUCAUGGUCGACCGCGAAUUCCACCUGCUCUUGGUUAGGCAUCACCUGUGAUGCUGCCGGACAUGUCACAGAGCUGAGCCUUCCCAACGCCGGCCUCAACGGUACGCUCAAUGACUUGUAUUCCGCAGCGUUCUGGAACCUCACCAUGAUUGAACUCCAAAACAAUAAUCUUGUUGGCGCCAUUCCACCAAACAUAUCCAAGUUCCUUACGCUCACCAUUCUGGACUUGAGCAGCAACAAUUUUGUUGGCUCCAUACCUCGAUCAUUCUCAAGGCUCCAAAACCUCAAGGCACUGCGUCUCUCCUCAAAUAAUCUCACAGGAGGAAUCCCAGAGGAGCUGGGGGUGAUAUCUGGGUUGCGAAUUCUUGAACUGUACAACAAUCCACUUGGUGGCUCGAUCCCAGCCUCACUCGGGCAGCUUCAGUCGCUACAGAUGCUCCACAUUGUAAACACUAGUCUGGUUUCUACUCUUCCAUCCGAGCUGGGAAACCUUACUAGUCUUAUGUUCAUGGGGCUAUCAAACAAUCAGUUAUAUGGAAGUUUGCCACCAUCUUUUGCCAGGAUAAAAACAUUGUUAGGAAUUUACGUGGAAGGAAAUAGUAUCAAUGGUACCAUCCCGACAGAGAUGUUUACAAACUGGACAAAGCUUCAGUAUUUAGAUGUAUCUAGAAACUUGUUAACUGGAAGCAUCCCGUCGCAUAUCAGCAAGUGCAAGGAGCUAGUGUAUCUUGCCCUCCAUCGCAACAACUUUAUUGGCUCGAUCCCGGUGGAGAUAGGGAGCUUAAGAAAUUUGCAAGCAUUGUUCUUGUCGAAAAAUCACCUUACUGGAAUUAUGCCAUCAGAUAUUGGUAAUGCAACAUCUUUGAAAUUCCUUGACGUCAGCUCCAACCAUCUAGAGGGUGAGCUUCCUAAAACUAUCUCCUUGCUUCUAAAUCUUGUUGCUCUUGGCUUGUCUGGCAACAAGUUUACAGGUACCAUUCUAAAUCGUGACAGCAAGCAGUUGCCGGUUGUCAAGGUUGCCAACGGUACCGGCAAUAGCAGCUUCUUGGGAGAAUCAUGGUCUGCCUUUUGUGGAUUAACACUUCUGCAGCUCUUGGAUCUAUCAAAUAAUGAGCUAUUUGGAGAUCUUCCUGGUCGCCUCUGGAAUUUGAAAGAUUUGCAAACCUUGGAUUUGUCACACAAUGCUUUUGUUGGGGAAGUUCCAAGCUCAACUUUCUAUAACUCAUCACUAAGGUCACUGCACUUGUCAAGCAACAACUUCACAGGUUGCUUUCCAGCUGUGUUGAAGAACUUAGAAAGCCUUGUUGUUUUGGAUCUCGGGAACAAUAAGAUUUCUGGUGUAAUUCCUCCGUGGAUAGGGCAAAGCAAUCUUUCGUUGAGGAUUCUCAGCCUGCGAACAAACAUGUUCUACGGAAGUAUUCCUUGGCAGCUAUCACAACUCCCACUUCUCCAACUGCUUGAUCUUGCUGAAAAUAAUAUUGUAGGUUCCAUACCAGAAAGUUUGGGCAACUUCUCCAUGAUGAGACAGAUAUUUGUGAUGCAACCGGUUGUAACAAUCGACGUAGUAUUUACCACCUAUAGAUAUUUUUUAUUUUACAAUGGCAGCAUGGACAUAAUUCGGAAGGGACAGGAGUACACUUUUGAGGGAAGACAUGCAUUUGUGACUGGUAUUGAUCUCUCUAGUAAUUCUCUAUCUGGUGAGAUCCCUUCAGAGUUGACAAGUCUCAGAGGCAUGCGGCUACUAAAUAUGUCAAGAAAUAAUCUAUCUGGUAGUAUCCCCAAGGACGUUGGCAAUCUAAAGUUAGUAGAAUCCCUUGAGCUCUCUUGGAACAAACUAUCAGGUCAUAUUCCGCCUAGUGUGUCAAACAUGAUGUCCCUCACCAAUCUCAAUCUCUCCAACAACCUUCUGUCCGGGGAGAUACCUACAGGCAGUCAGCUCCAAACACUCGAUGACCCAUCGAUCUACGACAAUAAUCUGGGACUCUGUGAUCCCCCCUUAAGACCAUGCACAAAUAAUUCAAGUAGUACAACAUCAAUGGAUGGGGCAAAGGAACAUCACCAUGAACUCGAAACACUGUGGCUGUACUACUCGGUGAUUGCUGGAAUUGUCUUUGGUUUCUGGGUGUGGUUUGGAGCAUUAUUUUUCUGCAAGAUCUGGUGGGUUGCUUUCUUCAGUUGUGUCGAUGCCAUGCAGCAGAAUGUUGUGCACAAGAUGAAGCGUAUCUGA